GGUUAAGCGACUAAGCGUACACGGUGGAUGCCCUGGCAGUCAGAGGCGAUGAAGGACGUGCUAAUCUGCGAUAAGCGUCGGUGAGGUGAUAUGAACCGUUAUAACCGGCGAUUUCCGAAUGGGGAAACCCAGUGUGUUUCGACACACUAUCAUUAACUGAAUCCAUAGGUUAAUGAGGCGAACCGGGGGAACUGAAACAUCUAAGUACCCCGAGGAAAAGAAAUCAACCGAGAUUCCCCCAGUAGCGGCGAGCGAACGGGGAGGAGCCCAGAGCCUGAAUCAGUGUGUGUGUUAGUGGAAGCGUCUGGAAAGGCGUGCGAUACAGGGUGACAGCCCCGUACACAAAAAUGCACAUAUUGUGAGCUCGAUGAGUAGGGCGGGACACGUGGUAUCCUGUCUGAAUAUGGGGGGACCAUCCUCCAAGGCUAAAUACUCCUGACUGACCGAUAGUGAACCAGUACCGUGAGGGAAAGGCGAAAAGAACCCCGGCGAGGGGAGUGAAAAAGAACCUGAAACCGUGUACGUACAAGCAGUGGGAGCCUCUUUAUGGGGUGACUGCGUACCUUUUGUAUAAUGGGUCAGCGACUUAUAUUCUGUAGCAAGGUUAACCGAAUAGGGGAGCCGAAGGGAAACCGAGUCUUAACUGGGCGUUAAGUUGCAGGGUAUAGACCCGAAACCCGGUGAUCUAGCCAUGGGCAGGUUGAAGGUUGGGUAACACUAACUGGAGGACCGAACCGACUAAUGUUGAAAAAUUAGCGGAUGACUUGUGGCUGGGGGUGAAAGGCCAAUCAAACCCGGGAGAUAGCUGGUUCUCCCCGAAAGCUAUUUAGGUAGCGCCUCGUGAAUUCAUCUCCGGGGGUAGAGCACUGUUUCGGCAAGGGGGUCAUCCCGACUUACCAACCCGAUGCAAACUGCGAAUACCGGAGAAUGUUAUCACGGGAGACACACGGCGGGUGCUAACGUCCGUCGUGAAGAGGGAAACAACCCAGACCGCCAGCUAAGGUCCCAAAGUCAUGGUUAAGUGGGAAACGAUGUGGGAAGGCCCAGACAGCCAGGAUGUUGGCUUAGAAGCAGCCAUCAUUUAAAGAAAGCGUAAUAGCUCACUGGUCGAGUCGGCCUGCGCGGAAGAUGUAACGGGGCUAAACCAUGCACCGAAGCUGCGGCAGCGACACUAUGUGUUGUUGGGUAGGGGAGCGUUCUGUAAGCCUGUGAAGGUGGCCUGUGAGGGUUGCUGGAGGUAUCAGAAGUGCGAAUGCUGACAUAAGUAACGAUAAAGCGGGUGAAAAGCCCGCUCGCCGGAAGACCAAGGGUUCCUGUCCAACGUUAAUCGGGGCAGGGUGAGUCGACYCCUAAGGCGAGGCCGAAAGGCGUAGUCGAUGGGAAACAGGUUAAUAUUCCUGUACUUGGUGUUACUGCGAAGGGGGGACGGAGAAGGCUAUGUUGGCCGGGCGACGGUUGUCCCGGUUUAAGCGUGUAGGCUGGUUUUCCAGGCAAAUCCGGAAAACCAAGGCUGAGGCGUGAUGACGAGGCACUACGGUGCUGAAGCGACAAAUGCCCUGCUUCCAGGAAAAGCCUCUAAGCAUCAGGUAACAUCAAAUCGUACCCCAAACCGACACAGGUGGUCAGGUAGAGAAUACCAAGGCGCUUGAGAGAACUCGGGUGAAGGAACUAGGCAAAAUGGUGCCGUAACUUCGGGAGAAGGCACGCUGAUAUGUAGGUGAAGCGACUUGCUCGUGGAGCUGAAAUCAGUCGAAGAUACCAGCUGGCUGCAACUGUUUAUUAAAAACACAGCACUGUGCAAACACGAAAGUGGACGUAUACGGUGUGACGCCUGCCCGGUGCCGGAAGGUUAAUUGAUGGGGUUAGCGGUAACGCGAAGCUCUUGAUCGAAGCCCCGGUAAACGGCGGCCGUAACUAUAACGGUCCUAAGGUAGCGAAAUUCCUUGUCGGGUAAGUUCCGACCUGCACGAAUGGCGUAAUGAUGGCCAGGCUGUCUCCACCCGAGACUCAGUGAAAUUGAACUCGCUGUGAAGAUGCAGUGUACCCGCGGCAAGACGGAAAGACCCCGUGAACCUUUACUAUAGCUUGACACUGAACAUUGAGCCUUGAUGUGUAGGAUAGGUGGGAGGCUUUGAAGUGUGGACGCCAGUCUGCAUGGAGCCGACCUUGAAAUACCACCCUUUAAUGUUUGAUGUUCUAACGUUGGCCCGUAAUCCGGGUUGCGGACAGUGUCUGGUGGGUAGUUUGACUGGGGCGGUCUCCUCCUAAAGAGUAACGGAGGAGCACGAAGGUUGGCUAAUCCUGGUCGGACAUCAGGAGGUUAGUGCAAUGGCAUAAGCCAGCUUGACUGCGAGCGUGACGGCGCGAGCAGGUGCGAAAGCAGGUCAUAGUGAUCCGGUGGUUCUGAAUGGAAGGGCCAUCGCUCAACGGAUAAAAGGUACUCCGGGGAUAACAGGCUGAUACCGCCCAAGAGUUCAUAUCGACGGCGGUGUUUGGCACCUCGAUGUCGGCUCAUCACAUCCUGGGGCUGAAGUAGGUCCCAAGGGUAUGGCUGUUCGCCAUUUAAAGUGGUACGCGAGCUGGGUUUAGAACGUCGUGAGACAGUUCGGUCCCUAUCUGCCGUGGGCGCUGGAGAACUGAGGGGGGCUGCUCCUAGUACGAGAGGACCGGAGUGGACGCAUCACUGGUGUUCGGGUUGUCAUGCCAAUGGCACUGCCCGGUAGCUAAAUGCGGAAGAGAUAAGUGCUGAAAGCAUCUAAGCACGAAACUUGCCCCGAGAUGAGUUCUCCCUGACUCCUUGAGAGUCCUGAAGGAACGUUGAAGACGACGACGUUGAUAGGCCGGGUGUGUAAGCGCAGCGAUGCGUUGAGCUAACCGGUACUAAUGAACCGUGAGGCUUAACCUUAC
rnacentral:rRNA from 1 species